rnacentral:rRNA from 1 species
AGUGAACGCUGGCGGUAGGCCUAACACAUGCAAGUCGAACGAGUGGCGGACGGGUAAGGAAUACAUCCGAAUCUACUCUGUCGUGGGGGAUAACGUAGGGAAACUGACGCUAAUACCGCAUACGAUAGAAUGAGCCGAUGUCGGUUUAGCUAGUUGGCGGGGUAAAGGCCCACCAAGGCGACGAUCCUUAGCUGGUCUGAGAGGAUGAUCAGCAACACUGGAACUGAGACACGGUCCAGAAGCCUACGGGAGGCAGCAGUGGGGAAUAUUGGACAAUGGGCGCAAGCCUGAUCCAGCCAUACCGCGUGGGUGAAGAAGGCCUUCGGAUGGUAAAGCACUUUAAGUUGGGAGGCGUUACCAACAGAAUAAGCACCGGCUAACUUCGUGCCAGCAGCCGCGGUAAUUC